rnacentral:rRNA from 1 species
AUUGAACGCUGGCGGCAUGCCUUACACAUGCAAGUCGAACGGCAGCGGGCCUUCGGGUGCCGGCGAGUGGCGAACGGGUGAGUAAUGCAUCGGAACGUGCCAUUGAGUGGGGGAUAACGUAGCGAAAGUUACGCUAAUACCGCAUAUUCUGUGAGCAGGAAAGCAGGGGACCGCAAGGCCUUGCGCUCUUUGAGCGGCCGAUGUCAGAUUAGCUAGUUGGUGAGGUAAAGGCUUACCAAGGCGACGAUCUGUAGCGGGUCUGAGAGGAUGAUCCGCCACACUGGAACUGAGACACGGUCCAGACUCCUACGGGAGGCAGCAGUGGGGAAUUUUGGACAAUGGGCGCAAGCCUGAUCCAGCCAUGCCGCGUGAGUGAAGAAGGCCUUCGGUU